ACCCAGAUUGGAAAGUCCGGCAAUUGAUCCCUCUGAAGUGCCUAGAAGGGGAAGACCCUAGUCGAGCUUGCUUAUAAGCCUUGACUCUGCUAUAGUACUGAUUCCUGUGCUGGGCUACAGCAACAAGCGUCUCCAUUGCAAGUUCGAGUUAGGUAAAUCCUAGGAUUAAAUUUCACUAUAGCAGCUAAAACUCACACCUUCAGGUUAGAUUGUGCAGCAAAAUCUCACUCUAGCUUCUAAAUCUUCUCCAUGACAAAUCCAAAUCAAGCAUAAACCAAACAAU
rnacentral:misc_RNA from 1 species